AGAAUCAACGCUGGCGGCGUGCCUAACACAUGCAAGUCGCACGAGGAAGUGGAGCAAUCCACGAGUAAAGUGGCGCACGGGUGAGUAACACGUGAAUGAUCUACCUCCGAGUGGGGAAUAACUGAGAGAAAUCUUAGCUAAUACCGCAUAAUACCCACGGGUCAAAGCAGCAAUGCGCUUGGAGAGGAGUUCGCGGCCGAUUAGCUAGUUGGCGGGGUAAUGGCCCACCAAGGCGAUGAUCGGUAUCCGGCCUGAGAGGGCGCACGGACACACUGGAACUGAAACACGGUCCAGACUCCUACGGGAGGCAGCAGUGGGGAAUUUUGCGCAAUGGGGGAAACCCUGACGCAGCAACGCCGCGUGGAGGAUGAAAUCCCUUGGGAUGUAAACUCCUUUCGAUAGGGAAGAUAAUGACGGUACCUAUAGAAGAAGCCCCGGCUAACUUCGUGCCAGCAGCCGC
rnacentral:rRNA from 1 species